GACGAACGUUGGCGGCGUGCUUAAUACAUGCAAGUCAACUGAAGCAGUGGUAGCAAUAUCGCUGUGGAGGUGGCGCACGGGUGAGUAACACGUAGGUAAUCUGCCUUCAGGUCUGGCAUAACUCCGGGAAACCGGGGCUAAUACCAGAUGAUGCAGCGGCUCGACAUCGAGACAGUUGUUAAAGCUAUGGCGCCUGAAGAUGAGCCUGCGUCUGAUUAGCUAGUUGGCGGGGUAACGGCCCACCAAGGCAACGAUCAGUAGCUGGUCUGAGAGGAUGAUCAGCCACACUGGAACUGAGACACGGUCCAGACUCCUACGGGAGGCAGCAGUAAGGAAUAUUGCUCAAUGGGAGAAAUCCUGAAGCAGCAACGCCGCGUGAGGGACGAAGGGCUUUUGCUUGUAAACCUCUGUAGUGAGAGAAAAAAAUCCCAAUCUUUGGGACAUGAUGGUAUCUCAAAAGUAAGCCCCGGCUAACUACGUG
rnacentral:rRNA from 1 species